AAAAUUGUUGAAAAGUCAAAAUUAGGUGAAAUUUGGUCACCAAUUUUGACUAGUUUUAUUAUUAACAAAUCAAAAAGAAAAAGCUAUCAUUUUUCUCUUCUCCUUCACCGAAAUAUGCAGCAAAGAAAGGGUUUUGAAGCAGGAAAAUUUCAGCAACAUAUUUCCCUUGCUUGUAAGUGAUUUUAAUGUCAUUGCUUGAUGAUUUUUACAUUUUUGGAACCCCUAAAGCAUGAGCUUUCAUAAGAGGGGACUAUUUUGCAAAAUGAAAAAGAGUCUAGGGUUCUGCCAUGAGAGUAAAUGUGUUGUUUGCUGUGUUUUUAUGGAGUAAAUGUGUUGUUUGCUGUGUUUUUAUGGAAGAUUAUGAGUCCUAGUUGUCUAAUAAACAACUUUUGUGAAAGAAAUUGCAUGAAAACACCUUAAAAAGGGCUAGAUUGCUAAGUUGUAAAAUAAGUUGUAAUGUGUAAAAUAGUUGAAAUUAUGAGUUUAUAUAGUUAUGAAAAUGGUUCAUCUAGACUCAAGGAGUAAAGAAAUGUGAUAAUAAUUAUUUUACGAGCAUUGGGGCAAAAGUGCAAAUAUGCAAAAGUUUAGGGAUCAAAAUAAAAAUUUGUAAAAAUAUGAUUUUUAGACCCAUAUGAAUAUUGUGACUGAUUGGUAGGCUAAAUGUGAUAUUAUAGAUCAAGAAAAUCGAGAUUUGGACCUAGAACGGAAAGAAAUCGAUUAAGGGAUGAUUAUGUCCUUUUCACCUUUGUGGUAUCGAGGUAAGUUUGUAUGUAAACAAUACCAUGCUAUACAUGUAUUUAAAUGUUAUCAUGACAUGAAUUGUACAGAUAUUAAGUGUAUGUGAUUAAUAGAAAUAUGAUAAGACAAAGCCUUAAUAGACGAGGAAAAAUCCCAUUUGAACCUUAGAAAUAGAAUAGGAUACGAGUGACAUGUCACUAGGAAUUAUGAGUCUAGAUGACUAACUCGAGAGUGAGCAUUGAAACGUCAUGAGAUAUGAGGUAGCUUUAGCUACAAUUGAGGCACUUAUGUGCAAAGGCUUUUCCGAGUAUCCAAUUAGUAUUCCAAGUGUUCAACGGGUAAUCCAAGGAAAGAGUUGAUGAUGGUCCCAACGAGGUAAGUCAUUGGUGAGUAUACACUUGAGUUAUGUUACGAGUUGUGCAAGUAUGUAUAUUAAGCCUAUGAGAAUGCCUUGAUAUGUGAUGAUCUAUGAUGCAUAAUAUGUGUUCUUACCAUGAUGGAUGAAAUGAUGUUGUAUUAAUUUUGUGAACAAUGAUCAUGAAUGAGUAACUUAGCCUUGACAGAUUUGAGUUACUGUAGUAAUGUAACUUUGAAAAUACACUAAAAAUAGUGGAAAAUUAGUUAGAGGCAGAAUAAAAUAUGAGAUUAAAGCUUAAUGAGUCUAUUUUCACAUGAAAGAAACAGAGGAAGAAAAAGAAUUCUAUAUUGUGUGAUAUUUGAAUUCUUGUAAAACAGGGUCUGAAUGAAUUCGAGAUCCCCUGUUCUAACUUUAGAAAUUCAUCAUAAAUUGUAAAAAAAUUAUUAAGAGUCAUACCUUACUUGCAUGGAUUCCUUAUUGAGUCUAUUUUUAAGGGAAAAAAUGGCAUCGUCGUUGGAAUUUUGUACAGGGAGAAAUUCGGUUUGUAGUGCACAAGGGUCAGAGUGGUCAUACCCUGAAACAAGAGAGACUUUAACUAAUAAACUGUACUAAAUGGCUUGACCAAAAAUUCUAGAAAAAAAUUAGUAAGUAUACAUAUGAGUAUAGUUUCAUGAUAAAUAGACGAGAACAUUAUUCGAAUCCUGUACUAUGAGAUAAUUGAACUUUAGUGCAGAAGGGUUGAAACUGUCAGACAGUGAAUCAGGAGCAAACUUGAGGAAUAAACUGUACUAAUUGGCUAAGUCAAAAAUUCUGGAAAUUUUAUGAAAGAAAGAUAAAUGAGUCUAGUUUCAUGGAAAAUUAACGGAACUUAAUUUGGAGUUUCGUAGCUCCAGAUAUAAAUAAUUUAGUGACUAUUGCUCAGGUAGACAGCUUGCAGUGAACUUGAGAAUAUGUUGUAAACAUUGAUAAAACAAGUUAAUGAGUUGCUUAUUGUUUUCAUAUGAACUUACUAAGCGAAAGCUUACCCCCCUUUCUUUCCCAUGUUUUCUAGAGUUUCCAGGUUAGCUCGGGUUGAAGGCCGUUAGAGAUAUUAUCACACUGUCGAGUUAACGCUAUCGGCGUAAGUAAACUCAAGUGAUUCUAGUCUAUGGCAUGUAUAGGGUUUUAAUGGGAGUAUGUAAUAUUAUGAUUUAGCCAAAGGCAUUGGCUUGUUAUUAAGGUGGUAUUAGUCAUGUAAAUUGGCCUAUGUCGGCUAAUAUCGUUAUGGGCCCAUAUGAUUAUUCUUAUGCAUGUAUGUUAUUAUCUCUUGUGAUGUGGCUUACAACAUGUAUGCCUAGAGAUUGAAUUGAGAUUCAUUGAUGAGCUAAUAACUAAUGCAGGAUUAAGUGAUUGGUAAAUAGUUAAUAAUGCUUCAUGAAUGGUUUGUGGAUAUGAUUAUUUAUGCUUUGUGAUGGACAUGAGGUUUGAUGACAUGUUGAUAGCUAUAGCAUUAAUAUGGUAAAGAUGAAAGAAAAACUUAUUGUAAUGGUUGCAUGUGAAAUUACCAUGGUCAUGUCAUGUUAGGAAGGUUUAAGUGCCUAAUUUUGCCAUGUUGUAUGCUAUUGUAUAAGUAUGCGUGCAUGUGUUGUGAGUGUGACAAAAUGGCUUGGAAAAUAGCCUUGUAUUUGUCCAGGUUUUGGACAUGGGUUCGGGACACGGGCGUGUUCUUAGCACCCGAGCGUGUGUUCUAUACCUACACGGGCGUGUGGAGCCUUGAUACAAGAGAUUUCCUAAGUUUUUCAUGAGUUCUCGGUUGGGUCCCGAACCAUCCCGAAUGCAUGUAUUGGGCCUCGUAAGCUCGCAUAAAGGACAGAUUGCAUGAGAAAAGAAAAGUUUUUAAUUAUUUGAGAUUUCAUGGCCCUGUUUAGUAUGGAAGUGUUAGUAAAAGUCAGGUAGCACCUCGAACCCCGUCCAGGCGUCGAAUGCGGGCGAGGGGUGUUACAUUUAGUGGUAUCAGAGCAUGGUUUAGUCGAUUCUUGGACUAAUCUAACGUAAGAGAGUCUAGCUAUACAUGCCAUAGUAUUACUCGUGAUAGUGUGAUAUCUCUCGGCCCUAACAAAACUGCUGGUUAAGACAGGAAUGAAUUCGAACCGAGCAAAUCUUGAUAAAGAUAAGAGUAAAGUUGAGAUUAUUGAAUCAUGCUUGUGACAUGCUGAAAAUGGGAAAGGUAUGAAAAGAUAUUCAUGAUUUUCAUAUGAACUAGUAUUCACUAUGUGAUACUCUUGAGUUAAAGAAUGUGAAAUAGUGGAGUAAAACACAGUUAAGUUGUGAAAAACAUUUUUAUGCAUGUUAGUAUUCAUACGAUGUUAAAUGUCCAACUUGAUUUGGCCAAGUGUUUAUGAAAAGAAAGAAAUUUGCUUGAAGUGACAGAGUGUAUGUAUGAAUGCUUUAAUUGCAUGAUUAGUAAUCAGUAUAUACAUGAGGUUGACAUUUUUGUCUAGAUUAAUAAAGUCAAGAUGCCGAAAUGUUAUGCCUUAUAAUCUUACUUAUAGAAUCAUAAAUGUCACAAUAGCAUGAAAGUUGUAAUGAAAGAUCAAAUUGGGUGGAACGCAGGGAAUGUGUACGAUCGUUCACUAAUGAAUUGACGGAAAAGACUAUGGUUGGACCGUGGCAAUACAUGAGAUUUGUGUGCCAGUGUAAGACCAUGUCUGGGACAUGGCAUCGGCAUUGAGAAGAGGGCUAGUGUAAGACAUGUCUAGGACAUGCAUCAGCCACAGUAUGAGAGCCAGUGUAAGACAUGUCUGAGACAUGCAUCGGCCUCGAGAUGUUAGCCAGUGUCAGACAUGUCUGGGACAUGCGUCGGCUACGAGAUGUGCUAGUGUAAGACAUGUCUGGGACAUGCGUCAGCACGGUUACAUGUGUCAGUAUAAGACCUAUCUGGGACACAGCAUCGACACAGAUGGAUGAGAGCUAGUACAAGACCAUAGUUGAACUAUGGCAUCAAGUAAACGAUGUACUCAAAAUUGUAAGACGUUCUCCAAUUUGAUAAAUAUUGGCAAGUGAUUAAGACUAAAUAUGAGAAUUUGAUAAAACAUUAAGGGUAAUUUGAGAAAAAGAAAUGAAAGUUUGAGUUAUGAUAAAUUCACUUAUGUUUAGCUAAUAUUCGCAUGAAAUAAAGUUACAUGUAUUACUGAGAUAUGUGAAAAUGUAUUUAAAACAAGUUGGAAAUUUGAAAUGUUUGAAUCAAUAUGCGUAAAGCUAUGUUGUUGUUGAAUAUGUAUUUGCUUGAGAGUCAAAAGUUUAGAGGAUUUACAAUCUUCGCCCCCUUACCAGAAUAGAGUUAUACGAUGAGAUUCUCGAGAGAUAUGUUGCAUAAGCUUGCAAAAGUGAAACUGAAGAGUACAAAAAUGGAAUAGUAUGAGAUUAGCAAAGAUAGAAUUAGUUAGAGGAAUAAUGUCGGACUUGCACAGAUGUCUGAGUAUGACGAAUUCAAUUAAACAAAAGUGAUGGCUAUCUUUCUCUUCUGAGUAUUCUAUGUUUUCCUCUAUUCUGGGGAAUACGUAUGGUUAUCCCUUUCGACUGAGAAUUCUAUUGUGUGAGGAUGCUAGUGACUAUGAUAUUAGAUGAAAAGUUCUAUUGGUCCAGUUAGUUAUGAUCUACAUUUCCUCAUCUCUUCAGAUUUCUAUUCUGAUAUAUUGGAAUGAAGUUGACAGUAAAAAUCUAUGUAAGAUUAUUCUGAUGUUCUAUUGAUUAUGGUUUAUAUAUGCGAGAAUUAUAUUAUCUCUGUUACGAGAAAUUCUAGAGCGUACAGACAGUAGUUUCUUUCUGGUUUUCUCUGAGGGAUUUUCCGGAUCAUCUUCAUUAUUUUCUUCUGGAUUAUAUUCUCGGAUUUCUGGUAUAGUCUUUAUAUCUUGGAAUUUCUUAUAUUGAUUUUUCUCUCGUUCUUGUUUCGAGAAUUAUCAAGCUUGGUUUAUUUUUACAAGUAAUCUUUGACUUGCGAUAUUAGAAUCUGUUAUGAUUAAGCUUCUGGCUCGACCAUAAAAGUGUGGGGAUUUCAGUAUCGAGAUUUCUUUAAAAUCUUGGGGAAAUGAAUGGUUAUUCUGCAAAAGUAAAUCUGAGUUAUGUGCAUUUAAGUUUAUUCUCUGGUUCGAGAAUACCAUUACAUGUUCUUUGGUAAGUAGUCGUACAGUCAGAAAUGAUGGGGUUUUAUUCUUGAAAGUAUGUUAUGGAAACAUAUUAGUUGGAUUUUUCUUGUCCGAGAGAUGUUAUAAGUAUAGUUAUCCUGAUUAGUAAAGAGACCACAUCUAUGAAGUUGGAAUCAUUUGAUUCAUGUUAGUGAAGUUUCUAAACAGUUGAUGAUAAGAGUAUAGAAAUGUGGCUAUAAGUGGUAAAUUAAACAAGUACAGCAUGAUUCGACUUUUAAUUUGGAAUUGCAAGGAAGAUUUGAUUUCUGGUUUCUGUUACUAUUAUUUCAGAGUAAGAUUAGGGUACUGAGAAACUCCAGGCUAUGCAGAGAAGUGUGUACAGAGUUCACAGCAGUCUUUUGUUUAUUCUUCCAAAGGAUGUUAAAUUGACUACCGGGGAAAGCCGAUUAUCAGAUAUAUUCAAGAUUAUAAUUGUCAAUGCUGACAUUGAAAGAGAAAAUUGAGAAAUGAUUAGUAUGAAUUUUGUAUCGGGAUGUCUCUCUUCUCCGGGAAAUAAGAGAUACCAUAAUGGAUUGUGAUAGAUUGAUGAUAGUAGUCCGUAUGACUAUUUUGGUAUAUACAGAGCUAUUGUUAUACGGAUUGGGACGAGUUGUGUUUCUAAGCUUAUAGUUCUUAGAAUGUCAGUUUUCAGUAUUUCGAAUUGAGCCGAGAAUUUUAUGGUAAUUGUGGAAAGGUUACAGAAAUCCUGAGUAUCAGCUUCAGCUCAGUUGUUUUGUAAGUUUUGAGAAAAAGAUAUAAGUGACUCGUGAAAGUAGAGAGCAACUUUUUUUGGUAAGAUUUUCGGGGACGAAAAUCCCUAAAGGGGGGAAGAAAUGUAACAGCCCGAUUUUGGGCCUAGUCGGAACAGUGGUUUCGGGACCACUAUUUCGAGGCUAGAUAAAAUUAUUUUAGUAUUAUUUUAUGUGUUAUAAUAUAAUUUUAUAAGUGCAUGUAAAUUUUGGUAAGUUAAUUUUAGCAAUUUCUAGUCCAAUUCCGAAAAAGGACUAAAUCGCGUAAAAGGUAAAAGUUGUGUUUUAAUACCUAAAGGUGUGUUAAAUUGCCUUGUAUCUUAAAUUGGGGGUCUUUAAAGUGAAAUUAGGCCAUUGAAAGUGUGAUGGCCGGCCAUGGGAGACAAAAUUGUUGAAAAGUCAAAAUUAGGUGAAAUUUGGUCACCAAUUUUGACUAGUUUUAUUAUUAACAAAUCAAAAAGAAAAAGCUAUCAUUUUUCUCUUCUCCUUCACCGAAAUAUGCAGCAAAGAAAGGGUUUUGAAGCUGGAAAAUUUCAGCAACAUAUUUCCCUUGCUUGUAAGUGAUUUUAAUGUCUUUGCUUGAUGAUUUUUACAUUUUUGGAACCCCUAAAGCAUGAGCUUUCAUAAGAGGGGACUAUUUUGCAAAAUGAUGAAGAGUCUAGGGUUUUGCCAUGAGAGUAAAUGUGUUGUUUGCUGUGUUUUUAUGGAAGAUUAUGAGUCCUAGUUGUCUAAUAAACAACUUUUGUGAAAGAAAUUACAUGAAAACACCUUAAAAAAGGGCUAGAUUGCUAAGUUGUAAAAUAAGUUGUAAUGUGUAAAAUAGUUAAAAUUAUGAGUUGCUAUAGUUAUGAAAAUGGUUCAUCUAGACUCAAGGAGUAAAGAAAUGUGAUAAAAAUUAUUUACGAGCAUUGAGGCAAAAGUGCAAAUAUGCAAAAGUUUAGGGGUCAAAAUGAAAAUUUGUAAAAAUAUGAUUUUUAUACCCAUAUGAAUAUUGUGACUGAUUGGUAGGCUAAAUGUGAUAUUAUAGAUCAAGAAAAUCGAGAUUUGGACCUAGAACAGAAAGAAAUCGAUUAAGGGAUGAUUAUGUCCUUUUCACCUUUGUGGUAUCGAGGUAAGUUUGUAUGUAAACAAUACCAUGCUAUACAUGUAUUUAAAUGUUAUCAUUACAUGAAUUGUACAGAUGUUAAGUGUAUGUGAUUAAUAGAAAUAUGAUAAGACAAAGCCUUAAUAGACGAGGAAAAAUCCCGUUUGAACCUUAGAAAUAGAAUAGGAUACGAGUGACAUGUCACUAGGAAUUAUGAGUCUAGAUGACUAGCUCGAGAGUGAGCAUUGAAACGUCAUGAGAUAUGAGGUAGCUUUAGCUACAAUUGAGGCACUUAUGUGUAAAGGCUUUUCCGAGUAUCCAAUUAGUAUUCCAAGUGUUCAACGGGUAAUCCAAGGAAAGAGUUGAUGAUGGUCCCAACGAGGUAAGUCAUUGGUGAGUAUACACUUGAGUUAUGUUACGAGUUGUGCAAGUAUGUAUAUUAAGCCUAUGAGAAUGCCUUGAUAUGUGAUGAUCUAUGAUGCAUAAUAUGUGUUCUUACCAUGAUGGAUGAAAUGAUGUUGUAUUAAUUUUGUGAACAAUGAUCAUGAAUGAGUAACUUAGCCUUGACAGAUUUGAGUUACUGUAGUAGUGAAACUUUGAAAAUACACUAAAAAUAGUGGAAAAUUAGUUAGAGGUAGAAUAAAAUAUGAGAUUAAAGCUUAAUGAGUCUAUUUUCACAUGAAAGAAACAGGGGAAGAAAAAGAAUUCUAUAUUGUGUGAUAUUUGAAUUCUUGUAAAACAGGGUCUGAAUGAAUUCGAGAUCCCCUAUUCUAAUUUUAGAAAUUCAUCAUAAAUUGUAAAAAAAUUAUUAAGAGUCAUACCUUAGAUACAUGGAUUCCUUAUUGAGUCUAUUUUUAAGGGAAACAAAUGGCAUUGUCAUUGGAAUUCUGUACAGGGAGAAAUUUGGUUUGUAGUGCACAAGGGUCAGAGUGGUCAUACCCUGAAACAGGGGAGACUUUAACUAAUAAACUGUACUAAAUGGCUUGACCAAAAAUUCUAUAAAAAAAUUAGUAAUUAUACAUAUGAGUAUAGUUUCAAGAUAAAUAGACGAGAACAUUAUUCGAAUUCUGUACUAUGAGAUAAUUGAACUUUAGUGCAGAAGGGUUUAAACUGUCAGACAGUGAAUCAGGGGCAAACUUGAGGAAUAAAUUAUACGAAUUGGCUAAGUCAAAAAUUCUGAAAAUUUUAUGAAAGAAAUAUAAAUGAGUCUAGUUUCAUGGAAAAUUAACGGAACUUAAUUUGGAGUUUCGUAGCUCCAGAUAUAAAUAAUUUAGUGACUAUUGCUCAGGAAGACAGCUUGCAGUAAAUUUGAGAAUAUGUUGUAAACAUUGAUAAAACAAGUUAAUGAGUUGCUUAUUGUUUUCAUAUGAACUUACUAAGCGAAAGCUUACCCCCCCUUCUUUCCCAUGUUUUCUAGAGUUUCCAGGUUAGCUUGGGUUGGAGGCCGUCAGAGAUAUUAUCACACUGUCGAGUUAACGCUAUCGGCGUAAGUAAACUCAAGUGAUUCUAGUCUAUGGCAUGUAUAGGGUUUUAAUGUGAGUAUGUAAUAUUAUGAUUUAGCCAAAGGCAUUGGCUUGUUAUUAAGGUAGUAUUAGUCAUGUAAAUUGGCCUAUGUCGGCUAAUAUCGUUAUGGGCCCAUAUGAUUAUUCUUAUGCAUGUAUGUUAUUAUCUCUUGUGAUGUGGCUUACAACAUGUAUGCCUAGAGAUUGAAUUGAGAUUCAUUGAUGAGCUAAUAACUAAUGCAGGAUUAAGUGAUUGGUAAAUAGUUAAUAAUGCUUCAUGAAUGGUUUGUGGAUAUGAUUAUGCAUGCUUUGUGAUGGACAUGAGGU
rnacentral:lncRNA from 1 species